GUUCCAGGUAAAUCCGGUUCACUUUAACACUGAGGCGUGACGACGAGGCACUACGGUGCUGAAGCAACAAAUGCCCUGCUUCCAGGAAAAGCCUCUAAGCAUCAGGUAACAUCAAAUCGUACCCCAAACCGACACAGGUGGUCAGGUAGAGAAUACCAAGGCGCUUGAGAGAACUCGGGUGAAGGAACUAGGCAAAAUGGUGCCGUAACUUCGGGAGAAGGCACGCUGACACGUAGGUGAAGUGAUUUACUCAUGGAGCUGAAGUCAGUCGAAGAUACCAGCUGGCUGCAACUGUUUAUUAAAAACACAGCACUGUGCAAACACGAAAGUGGACGUAUACGGUGUGACGCCUGCCCGGUGCCGGAAGGUUAAUUGAUGGGGUCAGCGCAAGCGAAGCUCCUGAUCGAAGCCCCGGUAAACGGCGGCCGUAACUAUAACGGUCCUAAGGUAGCGAAAUUCCUUGUCGGGUAAGUUCCGACCUGCACGAAUGGCGUAAUGAUGGCCAGGCUGUCUCCACCCGAGACUCAGUGAAAUUGAACUCGCUGUGAAGAUGCAGUGUACCCGCGGCAAGACGGAAAGACCCCGUGAACCUUUACUAUAGCUUGACACUGAACAUUGAGCCUUGAUGUGUAGGAUAGGUGGGAGGCUUUGAAGUGUGGACGCCAGUCUGCAUGGAGCCGACCUUGAAAUACCACCCUUUAAUGUUUGAUGUUCUAACGUGGACCCGUUACCCGGGUUGCGGACAGUGUCUGGUGGGUAGUUUGACUGGGGCGGUCUCCUCCUAAAGAGUAACGGAGGAGCACGAAGGUUGGCUAAUCCUGGUCGGACAUCAGGAGGUUAGUGCAAUGGCAUAAGCCAGCUUGACUGCGAGCGUGACGGCGCGAGCAGGUGCGAAAGCAGGUCAUAGUGAUCCGGUGGUUCUGAAUGGAAGGGCCAUCGCUCAACGGAUAAAAGGUACUCCGGGGAUAACAGGCUGAUACCGCCCAAGAGUUCAUAUCGACGGCGGUGUUUGGCACCUCGAUGUCGGCUCAUCACAUCCUGGGGCUGAAGUAGGUCCCAAGGGUAUGGCUGUUCGCCAUUUAAAGUGGUACGCGAGCUGGGUUUAGAACGUCGUGAGACAGUUCGGUCCCUAUCUGCCGUGGGCGCUGGAGAACUGAGGGGGGCUGCUCCUAGUACGAGAGGACCGGAGUGGACGCAUCACUGGUGUUCGGGUUGUCAUGCCAAUGGCACUGCCCGGUAGCUAAAUGCGGAAGAGAUAAGUGCUGAAAGCAUCUAAGCACGAAACUUGCCCCGAG
rnacentral:rRNA from 3 species